UGGGGAAUAUUGCACAAUGGGGGAAACCCUGAUGCAGCAAUGCCGCGUGAGUGAAGAAGUAUUUCGGUAUGUAAAGCUCUAUCAGCAGGGAAGAAAAAAGACGGUACCUGACUAAGAAGCCCCGGCUAACUACGUGCC
rnacentral:rRNA from 1 species